UACGGGGGGGGCAAGCGUUGUUCGGAAUUACUGGGCGUAAAGGGCGCGUAGGCGGCUUUUCAAGUCGGGCGUGAAAUCUCCAGGCUUAACCUGGAAGGGUCGUUCGAUACUGUUAAGCUAGAGUGUGGAAGAGGCUACUGGAAUUCCGUGUGUAGCGGUGAAAUGCGUAGAUAUCGGAAGGAACAUCAGUGGCGAAAGCGACUGCCUGGUCCAGCAUCGACGUUCGGGCACGAAAGCGUGGGGAGCAAACAGG
rnacentral:rRNA from 1 species